UGCAGUAAAACGGUGCCAUAACGAAACACGUUACGUGGUAUCAUAUCACUACGCGCACAACGGUUAUCGUAUUGUUCUUAAAAUAGAAGUAUAGAUCGCCGCGAUAUUAAUGUAUUAUUUUUGGACAAAAACAGACGAUAACGAAACUUUAACCAAUUAUAAUAUUGGAUGUGUUCAUCGUAACCGUGGUUUAAUCGUGAUUUAAUACGUCUAUUAUAUGUAACCAAAAAUGGCUAAAAGUCAUUCCAUAUUCCUUGUUGUCUUCUGUAAAAUUAAUGUGCAAUGCACAUCGUCUUCGUGAUUUGUAUUUCCUAAGUUGCGUUUCACGUAUAUUAAGUAAAGUAAAAAUUAUAGUUGAUAUUUUUUUGUAGUACCGUUCAUAUGACGCUGUAUUUACUCGAGUUUAUACAAUCUACAACGUCUAUACUGAGUUUAACGUUACUUGUCUGUUCAAACUGCUGCCUAAUAAUAUAAUCGCCUGUCAUAUUGGCUAAUGAACUUCGAAAAGUUCGCCUACUAUCAACGAAAAACGAUUACAGUUUUCAGUUCAGUCUAGUACCAGUACUAUCUUAACAACAACUUUUAUACCAAAUGAACCGUCAAAAACAUUGAAAAAAAUGCAAAUUAGCCAAAAAAGUUUUGCAUUCCUGUAUUUUUGAUUUCAAAGUUUUUAGUUUAUUAGAAGCUAUUGGUUAUCAACAUUGUAAGCUAUCAGAAGAUGAUUCAUCCUUUAUUGAAGAUCAACUGGCACCUAAUCGUCAGCCAAAUUUAAAUAGUAAUUUUGAAGACAACCAUUUAUCAUGUUUUCCAUUAAAAAAUAAAAGUGAACUAUUAGCAAUGGAAUCAACAUUACAAAAUGAAGAGUUAAAUUACACAAACAAAUUGGUAUCAACAUUGAGUUUUAUCUCUGAAGGAAAACAUAUUUCCAAAGUUACUUAUUGUAUUAAAAAUUAUAUUUUAUAAUGAGCUCUUCAAGUAUUACAGCUGGAAAGGUCAAAAAAAUAAAAAAUCAUUUUUAAAAUUUAAAAUUUGUAAUCAUUAUAGGGUACUCUUAGUCAAAAAUGUCCAGAAAAAAAAGAUUGCAGAAAUUAUAUCAUCAAUAGUAUUGUCAUGGUUACCACAGGUACCAAUAAGGAUUACAAACAAAGAAAAAUCAAAAAAGAGGAGAGAAACUGCAGAUUAUCAUGGUCAUUAGUCCGACAACGAAAACAAUAUAAUUGCAGAUGAUAAUAACACUUCCACAUAAAAUUAUUUUAUAUUUCAAUGUAACCCGUCAUUGAUAUUGUGGUAAGCGCGCUGCUUACCUCAUACGUAUUUUGAAAACCACUUGUUUAGUUAUUUCUUGAUUUCUUUGAUAUUAUUUUUACUUUUAAUUGACACAAUUUUAAAUGUAUUCUUGUUAAUUUAAUAAUUUUAUAAAUAAUUCUUGAUAUAAUAUGCAAUAUCAUUAAGAGGAAGCACAUCCCCAUGUGUUGUCACCACCUGACAUGCGUACAAAAUGGCAAAUUAGCGUUCAGUGAUUCAAAUGUAGUGAAGUUAGCUUUAAUAUUAGAGUAAACCGACCUAUAGUCAAACUUUAAGAAAAGAACAUUAUCUGCGUUUUGUUGAUCAGUUUUUUCUGAUAUUUUAAUUUUUAAUGCGUGUUAUGAGUAUGUAAAGUAUAACAUUUUAAAAAACAUCAUAACUUGAUGAAAAAUUAAAAUGUCAGAAGAAACCGACCAAUAAAACACAGAUAAUGCUCUUCCCUUAAAGUGUGAUUAUAGAUCAGUUUAUACUAAUAUUAAAGCUAACUUCACUACAUUUGAAGCACUGAACGCAAAUUUGCUAUGUUGUACGUAUGUCAGAUGGAGGCAAUACAUGUGACGUCUUCUUAAUGUCUAUAAAGUGAGCAUUGUGCCUUACUCCAUAGGCAACAUGGACCUAGAUGAAUAAUAAUAUUUAUUGUACUAUUAUAUAAUAUUGCAAUAUAUUAUAACUGUGUAUUUAAA